GAUGAACGCUGGCGGCGUGCUUAACACUUGCAAGUCGAACGGUGAAGCAGGAGCUUGCUCUUGUGGAUCAGUGGCGAACGGGUGAGUAACACGUGAGCAACCUGCCCCUGACUCUGGGAUAAGCGCUGGAAACGGCGUCUAAUACUGGAUAUGUGAUGUGACCGCAUGGUCUGCAUCUGGAAAGAAUUUCGGUUGGGGAUGGGCUCGCGGCCUAUCAGCUUGUUGGUGAGGUAAUGGCUCACCAAGGCGUCGACGGGUAGCCGGCCUGAGAGGGUGACCGGCCACACUGGGACUGAGACACGGCCCAGACUCCUACGGGAGGCAGCAGUGGGGAAUAUUGCACAAUGGGCGAAAGCCUGAUGCAGCAACGCCGCGUGAGGGAUGAAGGCCUUCGGGUUGUAAACCUCUUUUAGUUGGGAAGAAGCGAAAGUGACGGUACCAACAGAAAAAGCACCGGCUAACUACGUGCCAGCAGCCGCCGUAA
rnacentral:rRNA from 1 species